rnacentral:misc_RNA from 1 species
GAAACGCGAUAGUUAAUGUGAAUUGCAGAAUUUAGUGAAUCAUCGAGUCUUUGAACGCACAUUGCGCCUAUUAGUAUUCUAGUAGGCAUGCCUGUUCGAGCGUCAUUUCAACCCUCAAGCCCUGGUUGCUUGGUGUUGGGAGCUUGCUGUGAAACGCAACUCCUCAAAGCUAGCUGGCAGAGUCGGGAUGCACUCUAAGCGUAGUAAACUUGAUAGUCUCGCUUCUGCAGUUGUCCCGGCCGUCUUGCCAUAAAAGCCCAAACUUUUUUGUUUUCUAUGGUUGACCUCGGAUCAGGUAGGAAUACCCGCUGAACUUAAGC